rnacentral:rRNA from 1 species
AUGUUGGAUGGAGAAAUGGAAGGUUCUCUUGAGCUACUAGAUCUCUGUAGCAUCAUGCAAGAGAUCUUCGUCGAGAUGAAAGCCAUUAUCCAAGAGCUGCAAGUGGCACUAAGAAAAGGAGAUGAAGCAGCUUCUCAAGCCAAGAUCCAGUCUUACAAGAAACUUUUCAAGAAGACGGCAAAGAAGGCUACUUCUGAAGGUUGCAGCAUGGUCAUGCUAUUGACUAAGGCUAGAGAGGUCUCUAUCUCUCUGCUCGAAUCCACAGUCCUCCUCUUGUCAAAGCAAAUUGAAAUGCGCAAACAGUCUCUUAUCUCCAAGGCAUUUUACAAGAUGAAGAAGCCAGUUGUUUGUGAGGAGGAGCAAUUGCAGGAGUUAGAGUGCAGCAUCAGAGAUCUUGAGAACGGAGCAGGACAUCUGUUCAGGAAAUUAGCCCAGAGCAGAGUUUCCCUCCUAAACAUUCUUAGAGAAUGA